rnacentral:lncRNA from 1 species
ACUGUUAGUGCUGGUGUGUUCUCACUGAGAUUGAAAAAUAUUUUCCAAGUCCUGAUCUCGAAAUACGAUCUGUUCGGGUGAAGGGUGUGCAUGUGUGAGAAGAAUGACCACAUUCUGCCACUGUCUGGAGGUGGGCAUAGGAAACAGCCCUGCCUUUCUGUCAGAGACAUCGCCCUUCUGAACUUAACCUAGCUAAAUUCUACCCUCAAGAUGCAGUAAAUGGCGCUUCCUCCUGCAAGGCUUUGUCGAGCUUCUCCCUAUGCC